rnacentral:tRNA from 1 species
GCACUCGUAGCUCAGCUGGAUAGAGCGUCUGACUACGGAUCAGAAGGUCAAGGGUUCGAAUCCUUUCGAGUGCGCCA